AAACUACGAUUAGAUACCCUAUUAUUCUUGUUGUUAAUUAAAUUCCAGAGUAGUAUUAGAUAUGUUCUUGAAACUUAAAGAAUUUGGCGGUGAUUUAUUCUUUUCAGAGGAACUUGUGCCAUAAUCGAUAAUCCCCGUUUAUUUUACUUAAUUUUGUAGUCAGUUUGUAUACCGCCGUCAUAAGAAUGUAUUAGAAAGUUAUAUUCAAGAAGCUCAAUUAAGGAGUAUGUCAGGUCAAGGUUCAGCUAAUAAUUAAGAGGUAAUGAGUUACAAUAAGUGUAUUUAUAUGGAUUUUAAUUUUUAAAAGUUAGAGGAAGGUGGAUUUGAAUGUAAUAAUUAUGAGAUUCUAAUUGUGAUGUAAGCUCUAAAUCAUGCACA
rnacentral:rRNA from 1 species